ACUCUCGGCAACGGAUAUCUCGGCUCUCGCAUCGAUGAAGAACGUAGCAAAAUGCGAUACCUGGUGUGAAUUGCAGAAUCCCGCGAACCAUCGAGUUUUUGAACGCAAGUUGCGCCCGAAGCCUUCUGGCGGAGGGCACGUCUGCCUGGGCGUCACGCCAAAAGACACUCCCAACACCCCCCCGCGGGGCGAGGGACGUGGCGUCUGGCCCCCCGCGCCGCACGGCGAGGUGGGCCGAAGCAGGGGCUGCCGGCGAACCGCGCCGGGCGCAGCACGUGGUGGGCGACAUCAAGUUGUUGUUCUCGGUGCAGCGUCCCGGCGCGCGGCCGGCCAUUCGGCCCUAAGGACCCAUCGAGCGACCGAGCUUGCCCUCGGACCGCGACCCCAGGUCAGUCGGGACUACCCGCUGAGUUUAAGCAUAUAAAUAAGCGGAGGAGAAGAAACUUACGAGGAUUCCCCUAGUAACGGCGAGCGAACCGGGAGCAGCCCAGCUUGAGAAUCGGGCGGCCUCGCCGCCCGAAUUGUAGUCUGGAGAGGCGUCCUCAGCGACGGACCGGGCCCAAGUUCUCUGGAAAGGGACGCCUGGGAGGGUGAGAGCCCCGUCCGGCCCGGACCCUGUCGCACCACGAGGCGCCGUCAACGAGUCGGGUUGUUUGGGAAUGCAGCCCAAAUCGGGCGGUAAACUCCGUCCAAGGCUAAAUACAGGCGAGAGACCGAUAGCGAACAAGUACCGCGAGGGAAAGAUGAAAAGGACUUUGAAAAGAGAGUCAAAGAGUGCUUGAAAUUGCCGGGAGGGAAGCGGAUGGGGGCUGGCGACGCGCACCGGCCGUAUGCGGAACGGCUCCUGCUGGUCCGCCGAUCGGCUCGGGGCGUGGACCGUUGUCGCCCGCGCCGGCGGCCAAAGCCCGGGGGCCCUAGGCGCCCCCGGCAGCCGUCGUCGGCGCGGACGGUAUCCGCGCGCCUCUGGCGCGCCCCUCGGGGCGCUGCGCUGCAACGGCCUGCGAGCUCCCCAUCCGACCCGUCUUGAAACACGGACCAAGGAGUCUGACAUGCGUGCGAGUCGACGGGUUCAGAAACCUGAGAUGCGCAAGGAAGCUGACGAGCGGGAGGCCCUCACGGGCCGCACCGCUGGCCGACCCUGAUCUUCUGUGAAGGGUUCGAGUUGGAGCACGCCUGUCGGGACCCGAAAGAUGGUGAACUAUGCCUGAGCGGGGCGAAGCCAGAGGAAACUCUGGUGGAGGCUCGAAGCGAUACUGACGUGCAAAUCGUUCGUCUGACUUGGGUAUAGGGGCGAAAGACUAAUCGAACCAUCUAGUAGCUGGUUCCCUCCGAAGUUUCCCUCAGGAUAGCUGGAGCCCACACAAGUUCUAUCGGGUAAAGCCAAUGAUUAGAGGCAUCGGGGGCGCAACGCCCUCGACCUAUUCUCAAACUUUAAAUAGGUAGGACGGCGUGGCUGCUUCGGUGAGCCGUGCCACGGAAUCGGGAGCUCCAAGUGGGCCAUUUUUGGUAAGCAGAACUGGCGAUGAGGGAUGAACCGGAAGCCGGGUUACGGUGCCAAACUGCGCGCUAACCUAGAACCCACAAAGGGUGUUGGUCGAUUAAGACAGCAGGACGGUGGUCAUGGAAGUCGAAAUCCGCUAAGGAGUGUGUAACAACUCACCUGCCGAAUCAACUAGCCCCGAAAAUGGAUGGCUGUAGCACCCGGAUUUUAGGGGUCCAAAACCCGGGCGCUAACAUAAACACCAGGUAUGCUGGGACCAAGUCUCACACAUAUGAUGUAUAGUGGCAAAGGAUCGAAUGUCACAUCUUUAUAUAUAACCGGAAUUCUAUACAAAAUAAAUAAUUACAUUAUAAGGAGACAACGGUCCAGCAACCCAAAGUUGACUGGGAGACGACGGCCUAGACCUCUCACGAACUCAUCACAGCAUCCUCCAUGAGCAUCAUCCUGCGGUACCUGCUCUUGACCUGUGGUGUAUGUGAGACAGCAAGAGUGAGCUCACAUACGUUCAUCGCUCAACAAGUUGUGGGGAAUAAUGUGCAUGAACUCGCCAAAGAUGGGAGCUCACGUGAAGUGUAAGGCUUACCAAAGAGGAUGGUUAGAGCUGAGCAUUGCUUUUACAGUUGGUCAAAAUUUUAUUAGCAAUUACUAAGUAUAAGUAAAUACCAACCCAGUUAAAUAGUAGAACAAAAGUAACAACUUCACCUGCGAUGCAAUGCAUAUGACAAAUUGAAUUUAGUUCCAUAAUUUAAUCAUGUGAGGGUCCGAGCUGCUCUUGACCGUGAGCACGGCUAGUAUACCAGUUUUACACUCUGCAGAGGUUGCGCAUCUUUACCCACAAGUCGUGUAUCCCAUGUCGCCAGGGUUUGCAAGGCCCUUAGACACUUCCGAGGUGAAUGGCUAGGGAUCCACUACGAGGCCUUUACAAAGUUCCACUAGCUUCCAAAAACCCGCUACAGUUUAUAGGAAGUUCCAAUGCAGGAAUCCCUUGCAGGACCGCCAUCGCAGCAAAAUCCUCCCGAGGGCCUCCCUACACUGACCACUCCCCUACUGCCCUUGCCCCUUUCGGGUAAGGUAGUCUUCCACUAGCUUUUCCUAAUUAAUCAGCCAAGGGCGUCCCAUUCCACCCUUGUGGUAGCACUGUUUUCCCGGGCGGUCGCUCCAUGUUCCAAUUAACAUAAUGAUCUUAACAUGAACAGUAAAUAACAACUGAUAACAAAAGUAUGAUCAUGAAUAUUGUAUCUUCAUACCCAAAACCACAUAUAGCACUAGCAAGUACUACCCAAAAAGUUCACAGGUAAUCAAGGUAUAAAGAUAGACAAACUAGGGUAACCUAUUGGGUCCCAUCAAAAUUAACCUAUGCAGAUCAUUAUGAUUAAUUAGAACAUGAGUGGGUAAAAAG
rnacentral:rRNA from 1 species